AAAAAAUAAUCACUUUGCAACUGCAACAUUGUUUCUUUUUAUUAAUUGGAUCACAAGAACUUGGAGUUACCUUACAAUCUAUGUUAUUGAUGUUGAUGUUUUUGUUUUUGGUUUUCUUGAAGCUGGGGAUAUAAUAUCCAUUUCUAAUAAUAAUAAUAAUAAUAAUAAGAAUAAAUUCUAUUGUUAAUUAGCAUCCUGCCAUUCUACAUCUAGUUGUCAUCUUCUUCAGAUAUUUUUAAAAGUUGCAGUUGCAAAGUACCAAGCCCACACACACUUCUAGCUUGAACCUGUCCAAAAGCAACAUAGAUGACCAUUUCAGGCACACCACCUCAAGGUGCGGGGAACCCUUUAAAUUAGCUUGGUAGGCAAUAAAUAGGAAUGUGGAAGAACUGGGCAGCUAGUCUCUUCUCAUAUCCAAGGAGUGCAGCAAGCAAGGAAUCAAGCAGCUCAAGGAAACAAAAUAGAAUGCUUUCAUUCAAUAACUGUGACAGGAAUGUGGUCAUUGGGCUAAGUUCACACCCACACACAAACCCAUCCAUCCAUUCUAGCCCACUGUGUCCUGUAGUGUGGGCUUUACUUCACAGAUUAGAGCAGGAGAAGAAGAAAACCCCUUUCUGGCUUUCUUUCAAUCCCAACAGCAGCAAUCUGCCUGAACUUACUCACCUGUAACUCCAAUAUUGUAUUCCACAUGAGUGCAGCAGCCCCAUCUUUUGAGUCCUCAAGGAAGACAGUGAUCACUAAGAGCCAUCACUCCACUCUGUAGUAGUGGCAGCUCCACAUCUUCAACACUGCCUUGAAGGCACACAAAGCCCACCCUCCUUUCUCCUCCUUUUUUUCUUUUUUCUCCCUUCUCCCCCAUCUCUUCCAACAAAGCACUUUCCCCAGUUCUAAAGGAGGCAUGGAGUGGGGGGUGGGGGUGUGGGAUGUCCUGAUGCUGAUAUCCAGUGUAAUAGUAAUCAUCGAUGCGCUCAUUGGACCAGUUAGAUCAGCAGUUUCAGCCCUGUCAGACCCCGCAAGAUCAUUAUUUAAGAUUGCACAAAACCUAUUGUGGUAGACAUGAAUAUUCUGAGACAAUCAUUUAGGGGAAAAUGGCAAAGCCUGGAAGGGAAGAUGAAGAGGAGACAGACAGACAGACAGACAGAUAGUUAUAUAUAUAGAUAUAUAUAUAUGUUGUGAUUGACAACAGAGUAGUGGUGAGGUGGUGAACUGGUGGUGGUGGUCUGGAAAAGCAAUCACAUGCCCUGAAUCUGGCAGAAGGAUAUGAGGGAGUGAGAGACAGAGUGAGUGAAAGAGAGCUCUCUCAAGCCAGAGCAUGUUGACAAAGUGGUGCCUGAAGCUCUCUCAUUAAGUGCCUGGGCACAGA
rnacentral:lncRNA from 1 species